GGAAGCUUUGGUAUCCUCCAGCUGUGGAAGACCUUGUUUUACUCAGUAACUCAAAGAGCAGCCCUGCACAGCCUGGUGAGGAUUUGCUCUUGAGACUCACACACGUACGAACCAGAGGAUGUGCAUGAAGUACAGGAGAUAGAAAGAAAAUUUAGAAAAUCAUGUGCAU
rnacentral:lncRNA from 12 species